GAUUCACUAUUCUCCUUCGUUCUCGUUCUCUGGGCCUGAGUCACAUGCCACACAGCCACCAAGGCCUGGAAUCCUGGCUGGCAUCUGAGGGUGUGGAGUUCACAGGAGCGCCAGACACCAGUUCCAGUACAGGUGCAGGCAAGGAACUCUGGAAGGUCUUGGGAAUCCCAAAUGCUCCCACUGAAAGCAAGAGCUGCAACUAAAAUCAACACAAACCACAUGCCUACGGCCAAGUGUCUGCUCCAACCCCACUCCACAGUGAAGCUCCACAAGCACCAAGCCUCUCAGAGACAGAAGCAUCAGCAAGUGCCCCCAGCUUCCGGCCCACCAGGAUAAAGUCCGGACUCCUCCGUCCGGCACCCGCACCAUCCUG